rnacentral:rRNA from 1 species
GAGACCCACACCAACAGUUGCCAGCAUGUCCUCCGGGAUGGUGGGGACACUGUUGGGACCGCCUCUGCUAAAGAGGAGGAAGGAAUGGGCAACGGUAGGUCAGCAUGCCCCGAAUUAUCCGGGCUACACGCGGGCUACAAUGGUCAGGACAAUGGGUAUCGACACCGAGAGGUGAAGGCAAUCUCUUAAACCUGUCCUUAGUUCGGAUUGUGGGCUGCAACUCGCCCACAUGAAGCUGGAAUCCGUAGUAAUCGCGUCUCAAAAUGGCGCGGUGAAUAU